CCAGCACAACAAAGUAAAUCUUAAUCUUAGAUCAUUUCUAAAACCUAAUUUAUAUCAAAACAAUCAUUAUUCCAACCAUUUUGGAAGCUUAAUCGAGCUCGAUGAUGGUCGUUUCACUCCUUAUUGAUUUUCUUGAUUUAAUCAUAAAGGGUUAUGAGAAUUUUAUAUGGGGGAUGAAGAGUUUUUAGCACACCAAGAGCGGUUUGAUCUGAUUAUAAGAUGAUAUGUUUACAUUUGUAUUUGAAUAUGCUUUAUGUUUGAUUCAUUAUCGGUCAAUUUCCGUUGGUAUCAGGUGUAAAGGGUUUGUAUUUGAAGAGAUUUAGUUAUUCAAGACGUAGCUAUGUAUUGGUUUUAUCAGUGCUUCAAUCUUGUCCCUUCUUCAUUAUCAGUCUAUUUAAAUGUGCUUGGGAGGAUGUGUUCUGAUGACCCUCGACGAUGGUGACCACAGUAAAGAAUUGCUGGAACUGAAUCUACGCGUUUGUGAUGAGGUUAAGAGAGCUGGGGAUGGAGGAGUGAUGGGUGAGGGACAAGGUGACACAGGGAUUGAUAAAAUUGGUGAAGAUGGAGGUGGACGGGCGAUGCAGGGCCAAUCUGUUCUGCAAGUGUCACAACCGCAGCGACAGCCUCAAGGGCCUGUUAUUGGUUGGGAGAGGUUUCUCCAUGUUAGGUCCAUUAAGGUUUUGUUGGUGGAAACUGAUGAUUCAACACGACAUGUUGUAAUCGCACUGCUUCAUAAUUGCAAUUAUGAAGUUAUGGAAGCAACCAAUGGAUUACAUGCAUGGAAGAUUUUAGAAGAUCUAAACAAUCAUAUUGACCUUGUCUUGACUGAAGUAGUCAUGCCUUCUUUAUCUGGCAUUGGUCUUCUAUGCAAGAUUAUGAGUCACAAAACACGCAAGAAUAUCCCUGUAAUUAUGAUAUCAUCUCACGACUCAAUGAGUUUAGUUCUCAAGUGUUUGUCAAAAGGUGCAGUUGACUUUUUAGUGAAGCCUAUUCGAAAGAAUGAGCUUAAAAACCUCUGGCAGCAUGUUUGGAGGAGAUGCCACAGUUCAAGUGGUAGUGGUAGCGGGAGUGAAAGUGGUACACAAACUCAAAAAACAGUAAAAUCAGAAAGUAGCAAAAGGUCUGACAACAGCAGCAGGAGCGAUGACAGGGAUGAUAAUGGGAGCAUUGGAUUGGAUAGUGGGGUUGGUAGUGACAACGGGAGUGGCACUCAGAGCUCUUGGAAAAAACAAGCUGCAGAAGUUGUCAGCUCCCAAGCAAUCUCUCCUUGGGAUCAAAUACCUGACAGUCCAGGUAGCAAUUGCGCCCAAGUUAUCCACUCAAAUGUUGAAACUUCUAGUAACAAAUGGUUGUGCAUGACUUCAACAAGGGAAUGGCAAGAACAACUUGGCAAUGCUGAGUUGAUGAUUGACAAGCCUAAAAAAUUAGAUUUACUACCAGAGGAUCCACUUGAGGUUCCGUUCAAACUUAUAGGUACAAAACAAAAUACUCUGCCUGAGCUAGGUAAGCGAACAGACAAAGGACAACUGAACCCUAGUGGUGAGAGUCCAUCCAACAAAUAUGGAGCUGUCUUUACCAACCCAUCUGGUCCUCAGAUGGACAAAAGAGAAUCUGAGCCUCCUAGAGAACUUGCUAAGAUUUUGGAAACCAAUCAUGAAGCUGUUACUGAUUCUAAAGAAUUACCAGCAAUUGAGCCCUGUUUAAAGAGGCUUAGGGUUACAGACAAUGGGACCAUUAUGCAAGAUGAUUGUAAUGUCCUAAGACAUUCAGAGCUUUCAGCCUUCUCGAGGUACAAUACAGCCUUAAAUGCUUGCAAGGCUCCUAAUAGGAUCACCAGAAGCAGAUCUCCACUUGCUGAUGAUCGAUCUCUCGCCAAUGGGGAUCCUCUCCAUCAGAGCUCACAUGUGGGUAGCAAUAAGAUGGUUAUGGGCUCUGCCACAAGUAAAACCUUUAUCAAGCCAGUAGUUCUGAAAGAUCAGUCAGAAACAACAUCAACAGUUAAUGCUUUGCUGGCUCCAUCAAGCGUCUCGCACUCGGAGCUUCAAGUUCAGCACAUUCAUCAACAUCACCAUCACCAUCACCAUCACCAUUUUCUCCACACAGAACGAAAACAACUGCUGUCCAACCAUGGUGAUUUGUCAAUAAAGUUUUUGGCUGUAGAUGCUCCAUAUUGUGGGUCAUCGAAUGUGUUGGGUGGACCUGUUGAAGGUAACACUGCAAAUUGCAGUAUGAACAGAAGUGCAUCAGGCAGUAAUCAUGGGAGCAAUGGGCAGAAUGGAAGCAGUAGUGCUGUGAAUGCUGGAGGAACAAACAGAGAAAGUGAUAACGGGUUAGCUGGAAAAAGCAGAAGUGGUGAUGCUAGUGGAAGCAGAAAAAGAGAGGACGAAAACAAAUAUGCACACAGAGAAGUAGCCUUGACCAAGUUUCGUGAGAAGAGGAAGGAGCGAUGCUUUUGUAAGAAGGCUCUCACCACCUCAUUUGGAGACUGAAGGUCAAAGGCAACAUACUAUUGAACAGAUUUUGCCAUAUCAAUGUUCUGCCUUUCCAAAAUUUAAACAGACUCUCACCACCCCAUUUGGAGACUGAAAGGCAACAUACUAUUGGUCCGAUACCAGAGCAGGAAACAACUAGCAGAGCAGCGGCCACGUGUGCGAGGGCAAUUUGUACGGCAGGCAGGGCCUGAAAAUUCACUCAAGGAUGUGGAUAGCUAACACAUCUCUUUCACUACAUUGCACAAAGCUUGUGAAUUUAAUUCGUGUCAGCAUAUGUAGGGAAAGUUUAUACAGUAUUCAUGGUUCAGGUACAUUCGGUUCUACGUCUUGUAAGAACUCAAAAUAAAUAUAUUGAAACAAAAAUGGAGCAAUUCAAUUCA